GGACUUUUCAAGCGUAGUGAGUGAGAUGAUGGGAGAUGCCUGAGAGCUCUCGUGGUGGUUGGAGCUCAGCUUCCUCCAACCAAAAUUGGUGUUGGGGCAGAGGCAGAGGAGAGCAGCAGCUAUUUGAUCCUGGCUUUAUCCCUUCUCCAGACCCUGUGGAAGCUUGUCUGCUGGAGUCCUCAUCUAACUGCUCUCUGCCCCUUGGAGUGAGAUCAUUGUUUUGCUAACAAGUUUUGGGGUGGAAAAGAGUCCUGUGGAUUUGUUCCAGAAUAUUGUCCGUUUAACUGAGGCUCACUCAUUGGAGAAACAGGGUGCUGUGGCCACACUAGGGAGGAAGUAACUGGCCCAGUGUUCUCACCUCAGCAGGACAGCACGGAAUGACCCAGAAUGACCCCGUUCGGGAUGGUCCUUGGCAUCGCCCUCUGUCUCUGACCUGUGGCAGAGGAAAGAAGGAGCAAGAAACACGGUGUCAGAGAGAGGGAUAAAUUAAGAGGCCAAACAUAAAGAACAUGAAGAACACUCAUGAUUGUUUUGUUAUUAGAAUUUGGGUUUACAUAUGUGUAUGUAUCUUGGAAGGAUAUUGUAAGGAAUAAAAUCAUUUUAUAUGUAUAAA